GUGGCCCGGGGCCGGGCAGGUGCUGCUCCAGACCGACACGUUCUUCCGCGUGCCGCGGGGCCGGCUGAAGCUGCGCCGCACGCCGGACGGCCGGGGGGAGCUGAUUUUCUACGAGCGCCCCGACAGAGCCGGCCCCAAGGUGUCCCUGUUCAGCACCAGCCCCACGGCCGACCCCGAGGGGCUGCAGGCGGUGCUGUCACA